rnacentral:rRNA from 1 species
CCUACGGGAGGCAGCAGUAGGGAAUUUUGCGCAAUGGGCGAAAGCCUGACGCAGCAACGCCGCGUGAUUGAUUAAGCCCUUCGGGGUGUAAAGAUCUGUCAGUGGGGACGAAACUUGACGGUACCCACAGAGGAAGCACCGGCGAACUCCGUGCCAGCAGCCGCGGUAAUACGGAGGGUGCAAGCGGUGUCCGGAAUCAUUGGGCGUAAAGAGUUCGUAGGUGGCAUAUUAAGUCUGGUGUUAAAUGCAGAGGCUCAACUUCUGUUCGGCACUGGAUACUGGUAAGCUUGAUGGCGGUAGAGGUAAAGGGAAUGCCUGGUGUAGCGGUGAAAUGCGUAGAUAUCAGGAGGAACAUCGGUGGCGUAAGCGCUUUACUGGGCCGUAAUUGACACUGAGGAACGAAAGCCGGGGUAGCAAAUGGGAUUAGAUACCCGAGUAGUC